GCUAGUCGCACGAGUUCAGACUCGUGGCGAAUAGCUCAGUAACACGUGGCCAAACUACCCUUCGGAGCUCCAUACCCUCGGGAAACUGAGGCUAAUAGAGCAUACCACAAUCCAGCUGGAAUGAGGAUUGUGUCAAACGCUCCGGCGCCGAAGGAUGUGGCUGCGGCCGAUUAGGUAGACGGUGGGGUAACGGCCCACCGUGCCAAUAAUCGGUACGGGUCAUGAGAGUGAGAACCCGGAGACGGAAUCUGAGACAAGAUUCCGGGCCCUACGGGGCGCAGCAGGCGCGAAACCUUUACACUGCACGCCAGUGCGAUAAGGGGAUCCCAAGUGCGCAGGCAUAGAGCCUGCGCUUUUGUACACCGUAGGGAGGUGUACGAAUAAGGGCUGGGCAAGACCGGUGCCAGCCGCCGCGGUAAUACCGGCAGCCCGAGUGAUGGCCGAUUUUAUUGGGCCUAAAGCGUCCGUAGCUGGCCGCGCAAGUCCAUCGGAAAAUCCACCCGCCCAACGGGUGGGCGUCCGGUGGAAACUGCGUGGCUUGGGACCGGAAGGCGCGACGGGUACGUCCGGGGUAGGAGUGAAAUCCCGUAAUCCUGGACGGACCGCCGAUGGCGAAAGCACGUCGCGAGGACGGAUCCGACAGUGAGGGACGAAAGCCAGGGUCUCGAACCGGAUUAGAUACCCGGGUAGUCCUGGCCGUAAACAAUGUCUGUUAGGUGUGGCUCCCACUACGAGUGGGUGCUGUGCCGUAGGGAAGCCGCUAAACAGACCGCCUGGGAAGUACGUCCGCAAGGAUGAAACUUAAAGGAAUUGGCGGGGGAGCACUACAACCGGAGGAGCCUGCGGUUUAAUUGGACUCAACGCCGGACAUCUCACCAGCAUCGACUGUAGUAAUGACGAUCA
rnacentral:rRNA from 1 species